rnacentral:lncRNA from 1 species
ACGCCGAAGGCUAACUCAAAGGGAGGUACAAAAGUAAUGAAGAGAGGAGAAGCCCCUAGGCGGAGAGAAGAAGGUAGGCACUAACCUAUGUUGCUCUGAGGGACCUGUGGGACGAGAAACGGAGGCGCCUACGGCUCGAGAAGACGUUCACUAGAGCAAGGCUCUCCAAGAGAAGACAGACACCAGUGAAAACUCAGAAAUGGAGUAGGAUGCCUGAAGGGGGGAGGACGGGUUUAAAUAGACCUUGGGAUCCGGCGCCAUAAUGAUCGCGAAUCCCCCUGGCCAGUCCACAUCCGACACGUGUCCCACUCCCCCUG